rnacentral:rRNA from 1 species
AUUGAACGCUGGCGGCAGGCCUAACACAUGCAAGUCGAACGAGUGGCGGACGGGUGAGUAAUGUCUGGGAAACUGCCUGAUGGAGGGGGAUAACUACUGGAAACGGUAGCUAAUACCGCAUACCAUCAGAUGUGCCCAGAUGGGAUUAGCUUGUUGGUGGGGUAACGGGUCACCAAGGCGACGAUCCCUAGCCGGUCUGAGAGGAUGACCAGCCACACUGGAGCAGAGCCCCGGUCCAGACUCCUACGGGAUGCAGCAUGGGGGAAUGUUGCACAAUAGGCACGAGCCUGAUUCAGCCAUGCCGCGUGUGUGAGGUAGGUCUUCGGGUUUUAUAGUGCUGGCGGCAGUGAGGCGUUGCCCGCAGAAGAAGCACCGGCUAACUCCCUGCCAGCAGCCGCGGUAAUUC